rnacentral:tRNA from 1 species
UCCCUGGUGGCUUGGACAAUAAAGCGUCUGUCUACAAUGUGGGAGACCCAGGUUCGAUCCCUGGGUAGGGAA